UCGCGGGGCAGCCCGCCUGGCCCGCCGGCGCAGGUGAGCCCUUUUCAUAAAGGACGCGGGAAACUGGGGCCUGUUUACCAGCUCUAUAAAUGCACGUGGAAGAGAAGAACUGGCCUUCGAGGUACAGCUGCUAGCUGAUCUCUUGUGAAAAGGAGCCUUUUGGAAAGGGCGCUUAAAGGGAAAACGUGGCCACAGGUCCUGAAGGGGCUGCUUCUCAUGGACCCCCUUUGAGUAGUGUCUCUUGAAUAGCCGUGGAAAAUGAACUUAAUAUAAAGCAGACACAGCCCUCAAGCGCUCCCUGACUCGGGACAGCAUCCCUUCUGCCUCUUGAAGCUCGUUGACUUUGGAAAUCACCCGCGGCUCUGUGGCCACCUCCCCUGUUGGCUGAAGCUUGCCUCGCCGCACGUCCCUCUUUGCGCAGGUCUGCACGCUCCGCAGAGGUAACUGAGGACUUUCCGAGUCCAGCUGACUGGAAAGAGGCGAUGGCCUAACAAAACGGCCUGGGGAAUUUCCAGCACGAUGGGAAUUUGCCAAAUAGCUCUUCUGUAGGGCUGACGAGGCCUACUAAUGUUUGCUCCUCAAAGUCAGCCAUAAUUACGAAGUAGCUGGGACAUCUGGUAUAACUGUGAAGAAGAAUGGUGACAGUGGACAUCUUUGCAUUGUUCCUGAUCUCAGGGGGAAAGCCACCCAUUUCUUACCAUUAAAUAUGAUGUUAGCUGUAGGUUUUGUGGAGGUGUUCUUUAUCAAGUUUAUGAAGUUCCCCUCUAUUCCUAGUUUGCUGAGAGUUUUUUUUUUUUUUUUUUUACCAUGAAUAGUGUUGGAUUUUUGUCAAAUGCUUUUUCUGAAUCAAUUAAUAUGAUCAUAUGGUUUUAAUCCUUUAGCCAAUUGAUUUUGUGGGUUACAUUGAUUUUUCUGAAUGUUUAACGAGACUUGCAUACCUGGAAUAAAUUCUACUUGGUCAUGGUGUGUAAUUCUUUUUAUAUAUUGUUGGAUUCUUUUAUAUUUUAUUGAGGAUUCAGAUUGAUCUAUUUAAGCCACAGCCAUGAAUAAGUUACUCCCUUGUUCAAAAGUGUCAAUGACUCCCAAGUAUAAUCAACUAAAAUCUAGAUUCCUUAGUCAUUCAAAGCCCUCUAUAAUCUGGCCUUAUGUUCCCUCUCUGUGCUUUUCUCCCACUACUUUCUGUGAUAUACCCUCUAUUUCCUUAAACAUUUUCUAUACUUUUUCACCAUCCUACGUUUGAAUAUCCUGUUCCCUUCUUUCGGGUCUAGGCAUGACAUUCAACUCUAUUCUACUCCAAUUUUCUGAAAUUCUACUUUUCUUCAAUACCCAGCUCAAGUUAAAACCCUUUCAAAUGGGGGGCCAGCCCCGUGGCUGAGUGGUUAAGUUCACGAGCUCCACUGCAGGCAGCCCAGGGUUUCAUCGGUUCGAAUCCUGGGCGUGGACAUGGCACCACUCAUCGAGCCAUGCUGAGGUGGCAUCCCACAUGCCACAACUAGAAGGACCCACAACUAAGAAUACACAAC
rnacentral:lncRNA from 1 species